rnacentral:tRNA from 1 species
GGAAGGUGUAGCUCAAAGGAAGAGUACUACAGUUGCAUUGUAGAGGUUGCGGGUUCGAGUCCCGCCCCUUCCC